rnacentral:rRNA from 1 species
UACGUAGGGGGCUAGCGUUGUCCGGAAUCAUUGGGCGUAAAGCGCGUGUAGGCGGCCCGGUAAGUCCGCUGUGAAAGUCGGGGGCUCAACCCUCGGAUGCCGGUGGAUACUGUCGGGCUCGAGUACGGAAGAGGCGAGUGGAUUUCCUGGUGUAGCGGUGAAAUGCGCAGAUAUCAGGAGGAACACCAAUUGCGAAGGCAGCUCGCUGGGACGUUACUGACGCUGAGACGCGAAAGCGUGGGGAGCAAACAGG